rnacentral:rRNA from 1 species
AGUGAACGCUGGCGGUAGGCCUAACACAUGCAAGUCGAACGGCAGCACAGUAAGAGCUUGCUCUUACGGGUGGCGAGUGGCGGACGGGUGAGGAAUAUAUCGGAAUCUACUUUUUCGUGGGGGAUAACGUAGGGAAACUUACGCUAAUACCGCAUACGACCUACGGGUGAAAGCAGGGGAUCUUCGGACCUUGCGCGAUUGAAUGAGCCGAUGUCGGAUUAGCUAGUUGGCGGGGUAAAGGCCCACCAAGGCGACGAUCCGUAGCUGGUCUGAGAGGAUGAUCAGCCACACUGGAACUGAGACACGGUCCAGACUCCUACGGGAGGCAGCAGUGGGGAAUAUUGGACAAUGGGCGCAAGCCUGAUCCAGCCAUACCGCGUGGGUGAAGAAGGCCUUCGGGUUGUAAAGCCCUUUUGUUGGGAAAGAAAAGCAGCAGGUUAAUACCCCGCUGUUCUGACGGUACCCAAAGAAUAAGCACCGGCGAACUUCGUG